CCUCAUCCAUUUGAAUGGGGGCACCAUUAUAUAAACAUAGCACAUUCCCAUACAAAAAUAGUUGAAAUGCAUGUGAAUACUUACAUCUCUGACCAUGGAUAAAAGUCGAAAUUUUAGUUAUUAUUACUAUUAUUACGUGAGUCUUCAAUGAAAGAUAAAAAUGUAAAGAAAUUCUUUAUUUAUUAAUAGCUUUAAUAACAUACAGUUGCUGGGAAAAGAAAAAGAAGAUAAGAAGAAAUAAUUCUUUUAUGCUUCUUAUCAAAAAUAUAAAUUAAUC
rnacentral:lncRNA from 1 species